GUUUCAUCUAUCGUAAUGACCGUUUGCAAAAUUAAAUAUGUACCUAUUUCGCUUUUUACGUACAUAUGUAUGGACAUAAGUAUGAACUCCAUAAUUCACAAUAUUUACAAUAAAGUUCUACAUAUGAAUAUGCGCACAUUUAGCUUCAACAAAAACAUAUAUCGCGAAUACAUCUCGUCCUUCAAUUAUAACUAAUAAUUUUCGAAAGCCAAGCUGCCUAAAAGAUUCACUUGGUUUAUUUUUUCUAAAAAUACAUAAGUUACAUAAGAACUAAAUUGAAGUGGAAUGGACAUUUUACACAUAAAAAGGCAUAGCAUUGACAUUCAAGUGUGAGUAAAGUAAAUUAUCAUCAGCAUUAUUAAACUGAUAAUGCAAAUACGAGUACAUUCCAUUGUCGCAUUUUAACACCGGUGCUUACUCCUCACUUUUAUCAGUUCGACAACUCACCAAACCUAACCUAAUUUAUUUAUUAACCUAUCAAUUUUGCGGAGUAUUUAUUGCAUUUGUAUUAAUAAAUAUCACUAAAUACCUUUCGGUAAAUUUGUGGUAGGAAAGCGCGCGUUGCAUUCCGUUAUGUGGUAAUGAUUGUUAUACAAUCGUAUUGUAUAAUAUUGCACGUUUAUCUGUAAAGUCUUAUUGUUGCCUUGAAAUUACACUUACCCCACGCGAAUGCGGUGUUUAUAUACAGAAUCAAUAUAUAAAAUAUUCUACGUUGGAAGUUUAGCAUAUUGUUGUAGUCCAGUCUAUUCCUGAAGGUGAUGAUAAUUCUUCAAACCGGGUGACUUAGGUGAGAAGUGUUGUAAAUUAUAUUUAUUAGCAUAUAAUUUGCAUGAAGAACUUCUAUAUAUUCGUGGUACAAUUGUCCCGUUUGAAGUACUCCGAUAUUUUUUUAACACUGCACCGCAACCGUAACGAAUU